GACGAACGCUGGCGGCGUGCUUAACACAUGCAAGUCGAACGGAAAGGCCCCUUUGGGGGUACUCGAGUGGCGAACGGGUGAGUAACACGUGAGUAACCUGCCCUUGACUUCGGGAUAACUUCAGGAAACUGGGGCUAAUACCGGAUAGGAAUCCUUGCUGCAUGGUGGGGGUUGGAAAGCUUCGGCGGUUUUGGAUGGACUCGCGGCUUAUCAGCUUGUUGGUGGGGUAGUGGCUUACCAAGGCUUUGACGGGUAGCCGGCCUGAGAGGGCGACCGGCCACAUUGGGACUGAGAUACGGCCCAGACGCCGACGGGAGGCAGCAGUGGGGAAUAUUGCACAAUGGGCGGAAGCCUGAUGCAGCAACGCCGCGGGCGGGAUGACGGCCUUCGGGUUGUAAACCGCUUUCAGCAGGGGCGAAGCUUGUGGUGACGGUACCUGCAGAAGAAGCACCGGCUAACUACGUG
rnacentral:rRNA from 1 species